UACGUAGGGUGCAAGCGUUGUCCGGAAUUAUUGGGCGUAAAGAGCUCGUAGGCGGUCUGUCGCGUCGGCUGUGAAAACCCGGGGCUCAACCCCGGGCCUGCAGUCGAUACGGGCAGACUAGAGUGCGGUAGGGGAGACUGGAAUUCCUGGUGUAGCGGUGAAAUGCGCAGAUAUCAGGAGGAACACCGGUGGCGAAGGCGGGGUCUCUGGGCCGUAACUGACGCUGAGGAGCGAAAGCGUGGGGAGCGAACAGG
rnacentral:rRNA from 1 species